AUUGAACGCUGGCGGCAUGCCUUACACAUGCAAGUCGAACGGCAGCACGGGGGCAACCCUGGUGGCGAGUGGCGAACGGGUGAGUAAUGCAUCGGAACGUGCCCAGUAGUGGGGGAUAACCCGGCGAAAGCCGGGCUAAUACCGCACACGACCUAUGGGUGAAAGCGGGGGACCGUAAGGCCUCGCGCUAUUGGAGCGGCCGAUGUCUGAUUAGCUAGUUGGCGGGGUAAAAGCCCACCAAGGCGACGAUCAGUAGCUGGUCUGAGAGGACGACCCGCCACACUGGGACUGAGACACGGCCCAGACUCCUCCGGGAGGCAGCAGUGGGGAAUUUUGGACAAUGGGCGCAAGCCUGAUCCAGCCAUGCCGCGUGCGGGAAGAAGGCCUUCGGGUUGUAAACCGCUUUUGGCAGGAACGAAACGGCGCAAGCUAAUACCUUGCGCUAAUGACGGUACCUGCAGAAUAAGCACCGGCUAACUACGUGCCAGCAGCCGCGGUAAAAC
rnacentral:rRNA from 1 species